rnacentral:rRNA from 1 species
GGUUUGAUUAUGGCUCAGAUUGAACGCUGGCGGGAUGUUUCUUACACAUGCAAGUCGAAACGGCAGCACGACUUCGGUCUGGUGGCGAGUGGCGAACGGGUGAGUAAUGUAUCGGAACGUGCUUAGUAGCGGGGGAUAACUACGUGAGCGUAGCUAAUACCGCAUACGCCCUUCGGGGAAAGCGGGGACCUUCGGGCCUCGCACCAUUAGGAGCGGCCGAUAUCGGAUUAGCUAGUUGGUGGGGUAACGGCUCACCAAGGCGACGAUCCGUAGCUGGUUUGAGAGGACGACCAGCCACACUGGGACUGAGACACGGCCCAGACUCCUACGGAGGCAGCAGUGGGGAAUUUUGGACAAUGGGGAAACCCUGAUCCAGCCAUCCCGCGUGUGCGAUGAAGGCCUUCGGGUUGUAAAGCACUUUGGCAGGAAAGAAACGGCACGGGAUAAUACCCUGUGCAACUGACGGUACCUGCAGAAUAAGCACCGGCUAACUACGUGCCAGCAGCCGCGGUAAUACGUAGGGUGCAAGCGUUAAUCGGAAUUACUGGGCGUAAAAGCGUGCGCAGGCGGUUCGGAAAGAAAGAUGUGAAAUCCCAGAGCUUAACUUUGGAACUGCAUUUUUAACUACCGAGCUAGGAGGUGGCCGAGGAGGUGGAAUUCCGCGUGUAGCAGUGAAAUGCGUAGAUAUGCGGAGGAACACCGAUGGCGAAGGCAGCCUCCUGGGAUAACACUGACGCCUGCACGAAAGCGGGGAGCAAACAGGAUUAGAUAACUCUGGUAGUCCACGCCCUAAACGAUGUCAACUAGCUGUUGGGGCCUUCGCCUUGGUAGCGCGCAGCUAACGUGAAGUUGACCGCCUGGGGAGUACGGUCGCAAGAUUAAAACUCAAAGGAAUUGAUGGACCCGCACAAGCGGUAAUAUGGAUUAAUCUGGAUGCAACGCGAAAACCUUACCUACCCUUGACAUGUUCGGGAAUCCCGAAGAGAUUUGGGAGUGCUUCCGUAAGAAUCGGAAAACACAGAAAGCGAUGGCUGAAGUCGGUCACGCGUCGUGAGAUGUUGGGUUAAGUCCUGCAACGAGCGCAACCUUGUCAUUAGUUAAGCAUGAAAGGGCACUCUAAUGAGACUGCCGGUGACAAACCGGAGGAAGGUGGGGAUGACGUCAAGUCCUCAUGGCCCUUAUGGGUAGGCUUCAUUGUCAUACAAUGGUCGGGACGAGGGUCGCUAACCCGCGAGGGGGUCAAUCCCAGAAACCCGAUCAGUCUCGACUAGUUCGUAACCUGACUGCGUGAAGAACGCUAGUAAUCGCGGAUCAGCAUGUCGCGGUGAAUACGUUCCCGGUCUUGUACACCGCCCGUCACACCAUGGGAGUGGGUUUUACCAGAAGUAGUUAGCCUAACCGUAAGGAGGGCAUUUACUACGGUAGGGAUCUAUGACUGGGGUGAAGUCGUAACAAAGGUAAACU